rnacentral:rRNA from 1 species
GAUGAACGCUGGCGGCGUGCCUAAUACAUGCAAGUCGAGCGAACAGACGGGGAGCUUGCUCCUCUGACGUUAGCGGCGGACGGGUGAGUAACACGUGGAUAACCUACCUAUAAGACUGGGAUAACUUCGGGAAACCGGAGCUAAUACCGGAUAAUAUAUUGAACCUCAUGGUUCAAUAGUGAAAGACGGUUGUGCUGUCACUUAUAGAUGGAUCCGCGCCGUAUUAGCUAGUUGGUAAGGUAACGGCUUACCAAGGCUACGAUGCGUAGCCGACCUGAGAGGGUGAUAGGCCACACUGGAACUGAGACACGGUCCAGACUCCUAAGGGAGGGAGCAGUAGGGAAUCUUCCGCAAUGGGCGAAAGCCUGACGGAGCAACGCCGCGUGAGUGAUGAAGGUCUUCGGAUCGUAAAACUCUGUUAUUAGGGAAGAACAAAUGUGUAAGUAACUAUGGACGUCUUGACGGUACCUAAUCAGAAAGCCCCGGCUAACUACGUG